GGUUAAGUUAAUAAGGGCGCACGGUGGAUGCCUUGGCACUAGGAGCCGACGAAGGACGUGACAAACGACGAUAUGCCUUGGGUAGCUGUAAGUAAGCGAUGAUCCAUGGAUUUCCGAAUGGGGGAACCCAACAGGUAAUACCUGUUACCCACAUCUGUUAAGGAUGUGAGGAGGAAGACGCAGUGAACUGAAACAUCUAAGUAGCUGCAGGAAGAGAAAGCAAAAGCGAUUGCCUUAGUAGCGGCGAGCGAAACGGCAGAAGGGCAAACCGAAGAGUUUACUCUUCGGGGUUGUAGGACUGCAAUGUGGACUCAAAGAUUAUAGAAGAAUGAUUUGGGAAGAUCAGCCAAAGAGAGUAAUAGCCUCGUAUUUAAAAUAGUCUUUGUACCUAGCAGUAUCCUGAGUACGGCGGGACACGUGAAAUCCCGUCGGAAUCUGGGAGGACCAUCUCCCAACCCUAAAUACUCCCUAGUGACCGAUAGUGAACCAGUACCGUGAGGGAAAGGUGAAAAGCACCCCGGGAGGGGAGUGAAAUAGAACCUGAAACCGUGUGCCUACAACAAGUUCGAGCCCGUUAAUGGGUGAGAGCGUGCCUUUUGUAGAAUGAACCGGCGAGUUACGUUAUGAUGCGAGGUUAAGUUGAAGAGACGGAGCCGUAGGGAAACCGAGUCUGAAUAGGGCGCCUUAGUAUCAUGACGUAGACCCGAAACCAUGUGACCUACCCAUGAGCAGGUUGAAGGUGCGGUAAGACGCACUGGAGGACCGAACCAGGGCACGUUGAAAAGUGCUUGGAUGACUUGUGGGUAGCGGAGAAAUUCCAAACGAACUUGGAGAUAGCUGGUUCUCUCCGAAAUAGCUUUAGGGCUAGCGUCGACAUUAGAGAUUCUUGGAGGUAGAGCACUGUUUGGGUGAGGGGUCCAUCCCGGAUUACCAAUCUCAGAUAAACUCCGAAUGCCAAUGAAUUAUGGUCGGCAGUCAGACUGCGAGUGCUAAGAUCCGUAGUCGAAAGGGAAACAGCCCAGACCACCAGCUAAGGUCCCAAAAUAAUUGUUAAGUGGAAAAGGAUGUGGGGUUGCACAGACAACUAGGAUGUUAGCUUAGAAGCAGCUAUUCAUUCAAAGAGUGCGUAAUAGCUCACUAGUCGAGUGACCCUGCGCCGAAAAUGUACCGGGGCUAAAACAAUUUACCGAAGCUGUGGAUACCUUUAUAGGUAUGGUAGGAGAGCGUUCUAUGUGUGAUGAAGGUAUACCGUGAGGAGUGCUGGAACGCAUAGAAGUGAGAAUGCCGGUAUGAGUAGCGAAAGACAGGUGAGAAUCCUGUCCACCGUAAGACUAAGGUUUCCAGGGGAAGGCUCGUCCGCCCUGGGUUAGUCGGGACCUAAGGAGAGACCGAAAGGUGUAUCCGAUGGACAACAGGUUGAUAUUCCUGUACUAGAGUAUGUAGUGAUGGAGGGACGCAGUAGGCUAACUAAAGCAGACGAUUGGAAGAGUCUGUCUAAGCAGUGAGGUGUGAAUUGAGUCAAAUGCUUAAUUCUAUAACAUUGAGCUGUGAUGGGGAGCGAAGUUUAGUAGCGAAGUUAGUGACGUCACACUGCCAAGAAAAGCUUCUAGCGUUUAAACAUACUCUACCCGUACCGCAAACCGACACAGGUAGUCGAGGCGAGUAGCCUCAGGUGAGCGAGAGAACUCUCGUUAAGGAACUCGGCAAAAUGACCCCGUAACUUCGGGAGAAGGGGUGCUGACUUAAAGUCAGCCGCAGUGAAUAGGCCCAAGCAACUGUUUAUCAAAAACACAGCUCUCUGCUAAAUCGUAAGAUGAUGUAUAGGGGGUGACGCCUGCCCGGUGCUGGAAGGUUAAGAGGAGUGCUUAGCGUAAGCGAAGGUAUGAAUUGAAGCCCCAGUAAACGGCGGCCGUAACUAUAACGGUCCUAAGGUAGCGAAAUUCCUUGUCGGGUAAGUUCCGACCCGCACGAAAGGCGUAAUGAUUUGGGCACUGUCUCAACGAGAGACUCGGUGAAAUUUUAGUACCUGUGAAGAUGCAGGUUACCCGCGACAGGACGGAAAGACCCCAUGGAGCUUUACUGCAGUUUGAUAUUGAGUGUCUGUACCACAUGUACAGGAUAGGUAGGAGUCUAAGAGAUCGGGACGCCAGUUUCGAAGGAGACGCUGUUGGGAUACUACCCUUGUGUUAUGGCCACUCUAACCCAGAUAGGUGAUCCCUAUCGGAGACAGUGUC
rnacentral:rRNA from 1 species